rnacentral:tRNA from 1 species
GCACCUGUGUUGCACCUGCGAAGCAAGAAACCAUUGAUACUCCUAAGAAAAAUGAGUGUUUUAAGACAGACUCCGACUCUGUAGGCCAGCGGUUCAAAUCCGCUCGGGCGUACCA